CACAGAAAUUUAUUUCUUUAUUAUUUUUCGUAUCGUAUGCAAUAUUAUUAAUGUGGUUUUUGACAAUUAAAAUCUAGUAACAAAUAUAUAUAAAAAAAAUGACAAAUAAUUUCAAUGUAUCAAUUUAAAUGUAAAACUGCUAAAAAGUUGUUUAAAACAUCGAUAUACGUAAGUUAACGUAACAAGGAAAGUCAUAACGUUUAACUCCCCGCGAACAAAAUAGUCUGUACCCCAAUAUCGAUAACUACCCAAUUGUGCGGACUCCAGAGGUUCGUUUCUGAUAUAAUCAGGGAAUACGCAGGGGUGCUACUAAUUGUAAUCGUAUAAUACAGUCGAGGGGUGACGAGCAUCGCAAAGAAUUGAUUCUGGUUACGUUAAUAUAAUCAGAAAUUCAGGACCCGCUCGUCCCUUUCCUUAUGAAAUAUGUACCAUGGGAGAUGUUUGUAUUCGUAUCUUAUUUAUUGAGCAUCCAACGAUCAUGAAAACUCAUCGACACGAUCCAAAUAUUUCUCGUGCCUCAGAAUUUUUAGAUAAAUUAUGAAGUUUUUGUGAAUUGUAAAAAAAUUUUUCUAACAACAGAAAAUUAUAAUGCAUUUCAUCUAUUGAAAUUAAUAGAGAAUUGCAAUGAAAUGAGAGCAGUUCAGCGGCAGUGUAUUGAACAUCAAAGAUAAGAAUAGAAGAAAAAAAGGAUUGGUAAGCAUCGGUGGUCUAUUGCAGAGAGAAUUUGUUCGCUUUAAAAAUGAGCAAGAUCGCACUCGCUUGAAAAGGUAUCCAUUGACUUUCUUUUCAAUGGCCCAUACAAAACGAGCGCGAGGUAUCGGUGCGGCGAUGAAGUGGAGAACGUGCGUAAUCAAUCAGUUUCAUAGAAGCAUGGAAGCCUAACGCGUUAAUACCAAGUAGAAAACUAUGAAUAUACGCGCAGUUACCGACAAACGAAGAUUCGGCCGAAUGUAACACGCAAGAUGAAUAUUAGACAGGCCACGAAUAGGUAUAUGUGUUAUAAUAUGCUUCCAUUGGAUAGAUAUAACAUAUAUAGAUAUAACAUAUAGUUGACUGGAUGAGAAGCGCGCACGUGCAUUUAUACAAAUGAUUUCAGAAUUAUAAUUUAACGCAAUUUUUAUAAAGAUAAAAAUUUUGGAUAACGAUGUAUCGAGAAUAUUUGAAUAUUGAAUAUUUGUUAUUUUGUGGAAUGGUUAUGAAUAAUAAUCAGAAAGAUUGCGUAUGUA